UCAGUAGACAGCUUUGCAGGCUGUUCUUGUGUUUGCAGUCCCUGUGUAUAGCCUUCUCAAAAUACAAACGGCAUAUUUUGAGGCGAGUGCUGACCUCACCUUGCAAAGCUCUCUGAAGUGUCUGAGCAGAGGGUCCACUCCUCCCCGGCAUACCUUUGCAGCAAUAUCCUGGCAGAUACUUUAUGUCAUGUUGCCAUGAACUGCAUUGUUCUGCCCCAAGCCCCAGGCUACUGGAAAAAAUGGUUGAAGACCUGAAAACUGUGACCCCUGUUGCCUAGCAACUGAGAAGCUCAGCCUCAACUCCGGGUGGGGGAGAUGAUGGAGAAAGCUUCCAAGAUCAUCCCCAUAUAGCUGUUCGAGACCUCAAUUUAUUGAACCUAAUGGAGAUGA
rnacentral:lncRNA from 1 species